GGCCUUCAUGUGGGAUCUGAACCGGGGUCCUGCUGCUCAGAGCUGGCGUCCCAAGCCAACUCUUGGCCCCUGAUGCUUAUUUCUUUAUUAGCUACUUAACUGUUGGUGUCUUAAUGGGAAAUUUUCAUUUGAUUAGUAAACUCUUUCUGCUAGGUUUAGGGUUUUUGAAUUUUUAUGUUUGGUUGGUUUUGGAGGUCUUGGGGGGGGGCAGGGAGGUGAAACCUAAGAAAUUUCUGCAGUAGAAAAUACCAUGAACCUAUAUAUGUCCCUUAUAAAGUUGUGGCAUUUAGAGGAAUAUUUCAAAACCUAUGUUGGGAGAUAGGCAAAUUAAGCAAAGCAGCCUAACAAAUUCUUUUUUUUUUCAUAGUGAAUUCAUCUUAUAUAUAGAAUAACAAGCACAUUUAGCAGUUUUUGCUAACAUUCUGGGCUUCUUUUCAUUGUGACUGCUUUACAAACUUGAUAAUGUUCCUCCCUGAUAAGAGGCUCACUGGAAUUUAUUUUUGUUUAAAGACAAAUAUUUUUAAUACAGAGAAAAUAAAAGUGGCACAUAUCCCCCCCCCAGAUGGCAAACUCUAAAUUAGCAGUACCCCAUGGCAGCAUUAGAUACCAGCCAUACUAACAGCAUGCAAAUACACUGUUUUUCAUUAAACCUGGCACUUUACAUUGAGAGUGUUUUCAGAUCGGAUCUUAUCUGGGUGGGUUUCAUGUGAUUGAACUAAUAUAUAAAUAUUUGCUCCUUUGAAGGUAUUUAGACAUUAGAAAUGAAUGGUCUGCUUAUGAACCAUAGAUUUGAGAAACAAUUUUAGAUGAAAUUUCCAGUCUUAACUUUUUUGUAGAUGAAUUGUUUGGGCACAAUGUUAUGUUUCUAUAUUCUAGGACUAUUACUGAAUAAUACUAUUUAUCUCUUUAUACCAACCAACAUACUAUUAAAUUAGCUCUUUUUUGUUCAAACAAGCACUAAGAUGAUAGGAACACUGCGUGAACGUUGGAUGCAGAGUUGACCAUUGUCCAGUGAGCCUCUUGGGAGAACUGCGGUUCAGGAAGCUACGAGUCACGAAACAUAAAGCCUGUCUAUCAUGUCUAGCUUAGUCAAGGCCACAGCUUUGUUUCUCAGCAUUGAGUUUUUAAUAAUAUCAGCAUCUUAGGAAAAACACAUUUGUCCUCUAAAAGGAAACAGGGUUACCAAGAAAAGCUCUCUCUAUUCCUUCUCUCUUCCCUGAACUCUUGGCUUUAAUUGAAGAAGACAAUAUAUUAUGUAUGACACUUUCCGUAAGUAUUGCUGAUGAUUUUGUGAAAAGGAGGUGGGAGGAGGUUCGGCACUGUAUUUCCAGACUGGUCAUAGACUUGGUGACUCUGAGCAAGUCACUCGGCCUCUCUGUGCCUCCUUGGUUUCAUCUGUAAAAUGGGAAUAAUUAUAUUUGUCCUCCCCCACCUCCGCAGAAGACUGAAGGAUCAGUCAAAGAAGAGGGGAAAAAAUCUAUAAGGGGCAUUGAUCCCAAAGAUGGGCAGAAAAUAGAGGUAGCUGUUAUUAAAUAAUGAAGACUGCCUUAGGUAGCAGCUUAAUUUUAAAAGUGUCUUUGCCUGGUUCUGUAUAGUGAAUAUCAGCUAACAUUUUGAAGUAGAAGUUGAGAGUAGGUAGGUUUGAAAUUAAACAGAUUUUUAAUACUUAUGGACACAAAUAGUGUUAGGAAAUAUUUAUAGUGUAGAUGAUAGAUCUGAGUUCAAAUAUCUCAUUGUACUAAGCUAAUUUGCAGUGUCUUGUUAUUUGAGUUUGACUUCACUUCAGAGGGCUACACGUGGUCAGAUGAAACCAUAGUCACAGCAGUAUUUUUAGCCUAUCCUAGAAUCUCAGCGUUUCGGAGCCUGAGCGCUCACCCAGUGCAAUCUCCUAUCAGAAGCAAGGUUCCUUCUGGUGACGUCACUGACAGGUGCUCGUGCAGCCUCUUCCUGAAGAUGCUGGAAAAGGGAUAAUGCUGCUACCUCACUACUUUGAUGGGUACCUUCUGUUCAAGAAUUUCCUAAAACUCGGAACGAGUCACGUGUUACUUUGGAAGAUGCAAGCAUUUUACCUUUCAUAUCGAACACCACUCUCUAAAGGACAUAGGUGAAAUUCCUUUCUAUUCAAGAAAGGACCAAAAAGUGUUCUUCCGUGAAGUCUACAGAUAGCGUUUGCUUUGGGAGUAGAUGAUUUCUUCUUAUUUUGGUUGUAAACAUCGAUUUGAAUGGCAAUUAGAACAGGUUUUUAACCUCUUUGAAAAAACCCUCUGGGACAGACCUUGGAUGGAGCUACUCAACCGGCAUGUAAUUAGAAUUUUAUUUGCAUGGCUUUUUUUUUUAAGUUUCUCUAGAAGAGCAUAAAACAUUCUUAAGAUGCAAGGAAUGAAGUUAUUCUCACAUCAAGGAUCAAUUGUAUUUUAUAUCUGCCUUUCACGCCAUCUUCCUUUAUUUUUAUUAGUAUUCAUUCCCUUCAAAGCGAGUAACUUUUAUUUUUUGCUUGAUACCUCCUGCAUUUAGUAAGUAGUAGCGCCUCUUUACCUGCUUUCCUGAACCCCAUAUUUAUAAUACUUUAUGUUAUAUUUUUUAAAUUGAUUCAUUCUAGCUGGGCUGGAAUCUUCAAGUAUUAAUUUAUACUGGACAUUCCCUCUUCGGGGAUUAUUUAGACUAUCUAAACAUUACAUUUUUCUUUCGUUGCUAUAAAUAUGCAUAGUUAUGUCAAUGUUCUUUGAAUGCUUUAUUAUAGUGAUAAUUGGGGCUGCUAUUGAUAAUGGUAAACUAUAUGGAGUUAAGAAUUUUUAUACUAUGAACUAUUUAUUGAGAAUUUUCAGAAUUCCCUAGCUACUUGUCUUUAACACUUAUAAGAGGCUUGUAUUUUUCUCCCUUUGUGGCCUGAAAGUUUGUUUUCCCUUUGUUCAGGCAGGUCUGAAUGAGUUGUAUCUACUGGAAAACACACAUGUAUCCAAAAGUGGAUGUAUUGUAGAAAUGUGAUGUUUCCUUGCGUCGGGAGUUUGGCCAGAAAGUUUUCUGUAUGGAUUUCAUUUUUAACAAAGCAUAAGGGCUUCCUUUUUUAACCAACUUCUGUGUGUGUAAAGAUGUAUUUGUUCAAGCUUUAAGAAAAGAAUAAACCUGUCAUUGUUCAAA